rnacentral:rRNA from 1 species
UUUAUGGAGAGUUUGAUCCUGGCUCAGGAUGAACGCUGGCGGCGUGCCUAAUACAUGCAAGUCGAGCGAACAGACGGGGAGCUUGCUCCCCCGACGUUAGCGGCGGACGGGUGAGUAACACGUGGGUAACCUACCUAUAAGACUGGAAUAACUCCGGGAAACCGGGGCUAAUGCCGGAUAACAUGUGUGGACCGCAUGGUCCUACAGUGAAAGAUGGUCUUGCUGUCGCUUAUAGAUGGACCCGCGCCGUAUUAGCUAGUUGGUAAGGUAACGGCUUACCAAGGCAACGAUACGUAGCCGACCUGAGAGGGUGAUCGGCCACACUGGAACUGAGACACGGUCCAGACUCCUACGGGAGGCAGCAGUAGGGAAUCUUCCGCAAUGGGCGAAAGCCUGACGGAGCAACGCCGCGUGAGUGAUGAAGGCCUUCGGGUCGUAAAACUCUGUUAUUAGGGAAGAACAAAUGUGCAAGUAACUAUGCACGCCUUGACGGUACCUAAUCAGACAGCCACGGCUAACUACGUGCCAGCAGCCGCUGUAAUACGUAGGUGGCAAGCGUUAUCCGGGAGU